UACAGAGGGUGCGAGCGUUUAAUCGGAAUUACUGGGCGUAAAGGGCGCGUAGGUGGUUAUGUAAGUGAGAUGUGAAAUCCCUGGGCUUAACCUAGGAACUGCAUCUUAUACUGCGUAGCUGGAGUGCGGUAGAGGGUAGUGGAAUUUCCGGUGUAGCGGUGAAAUGCGUAGAUAUCGGAAGGAACACCAGUGGCGAAGGCGGCUACCUGGACUGACACUGACACUGAGGCGCGAAAGCGUGGGGAGCAAACAGG
rnacentral:rRNA from 1 species